rnacentral:rRNA from 1 species
AACGAACGCUGGCGGCAUGCCUAACACAUGCAAGUCGAACGAGACCUUCGGGUCUAGUGGCGCACGGGUGCGUAACGCGUGGGAACCUGCCCUUAGGUUCGGAAUAACUCCCCGAAAGGGGUGCUAAUACCGGAUAAGGUCUUCGGACCAAAGAUUUAUCGCCUUUGGAUGGGCCCGCGUUGGAUUAGCUAGUUGGUAGGGUAAAAGCCUACCAAGGCGACGAUCCAUAGCUGGUCUGAGAGGAUGAUCAGCCACACUGGGACUGAGACACGGCCCAGACUCCUACGGGAGGCAGCAGUGGGGAAUAUUGGACAAUGGGCGAAAGCCUGAUCCAGCAAUGCCGCGUGAGUGAUGAAGGCCUUAGGGUUGUAAAGCUCUUUUACCCGGGAUGAUAAUGACAGUACCGGGAGAAUAAGCCCCGGCUAACUCCGUG